AAAUGUCCACCUUUGUUCUCCUCCUGUGAUUGUGCGGUAGCUCUGAUGGGGAGACACCUGGGGUUGAGGUAGGAGUAGAAUGAAAGGGUAUGAGAUAAUCACACUCUUUCACAACUCAAAGAGCUUUCCUAUGCUAAUCAGGACUGUGCUAAUAAUGCUAAUCACAUUUCAUCUGGAAUAACUUCAUGUCUAAAUGCUAAAGUGAUAAUUUAACUAAAUUCAUUUAUACAUACACAAUGUCAUGACCUUUAAUAUUGUUCACUGUUAAAAUUCACACCAUGUUUUAGUUUUAGUUACAUUUUAGUUAAAAUGUAAACACUAUAAAGUUACAUGCACACUUUCUUAUUAACUGCUGUAUGUAACAUCUUUUAGUAAAAAGAAAGAAUGAAAGUAACAUUUUCUACUGUAAACCUUUCUAGUGUCUACAUCUUAAAUAAUACAGAUGAGCGUUUCCCCCCAAGUGUCUGAUGAUUACCGUAAAACCCCGUAUAUACGCUCACUCCAGGUUCUACCUUAGACAAAUGAUUUGUGAAAGGACCAUACUGAAACUGUACUGCGUCCCCCUCCCCCACAGCGGGAUUACACAUUAUUCCUCUUUGGGGUUGUUAGAUCUGCUGACCUAAAAGCACUUCAUUAAACUUCUUCUAUCAGAGAGGUUCCAGCACACAGGACUGAUAGAGCUCCAGUACAUCAUAUCUGUAAAGUCAUGUGACUCAUCACAGCAUCAGAAUAGACCAGAAUUCACUGUGAGCUUCACAUCUCAUUACAGCUAAUAGACCAAUCAAAUCAGUCCACAGCUUCAAAACAUCCAAUCAGGCGUGAGUCUGGACCUGCUUUUCUACUGAACUCACAAGUUCAUUACCUCACUAUCACUUUGUCUAAACAGGAACGAUGAUCACACUCUUUGUCGCGCUUUACUCUCUUUUUUCUCUCUGCACAGCUGGAAAAACUUCUGACAUCAAGGAGCUUCAUGUGAAAACAGUAAAGCGUGGAGAAGAUGUAACUAUGGAGUGUAGCAUGAGCAAGGGCAAAGACAAAAAUAAUUUAGCUUGGUACAGACAGAGUUUUGGAAAAGUGCCUCAGUAUUUUGUAAGAUAUUACGGGCAAAGUAAUUACACAUUUGCAGAGGGAUUUAAAGAUAGCCGCUUCAGUAUGACUGUAAAUGACCAGAAGUUUGAUCUCAACAUUAUCGGAACGAGAGAAGAUGAUGGAGGAGAAUAUUUCUGUGGAGAAGCGGAGGGAAAUAAAAUAAAGUUCACAUCUGGAACACGUCUGCAAUUUGAAGGUGAAGAGAUGAAACACUGUCCUACACCUGGAACGGUUAACAACAACACAGAUUCUGUUACAGGGUCCGAUGAGGGUUCAAAGAGCAGUGAUGGAAAAGGUUCCAGUUGUCCUGAUCAGACGCAUGUGCUGGUCUGGCUCUCCAUUUUUAGAGUUGGAGUUCUUGCCUUCAUGCUUCUUAUCUUUCCAAUAAUCCUGAUUGUUUUCAAAUUAAGAUCAAAUUAGAAAUUCAGAUACAAAUGGAAGAAAUACUGAUUUAAGGAGAAAACAGUGUGUUAGAUUUAACUAGAGCUAAUUGCUUAUAUUGUCCGUAUAUUGGAAUGAUUUUGGUCUAACUGUAAUGUGGAGGUAUUUACCAGCCGUACUUACAGCUGCAUUUAAGGGCUCCUGAGAGGCGCAGUACAAAAUCGUUCUCCCUAUUGUCUCGGGGUCUAAUCCUGAGCAUGCCACAGACAUCCGUGGUCGGAAGUCUAAGAGAGCAAAAUUGGCCGUGCUCUCUGGGAGGGAGGGACAUACUCUCUCUCCCCUGUCAAUCACAGCAACACCAGCCAAUCAUGGGAAUCUGUGGGUGUGUUAUGCUGCCCCCUGAUGGUCAGAAGUUCAAAAAGAUGCAGUUAUCUGGCUUCACGUGUCUCACAGGAAGCAUGUGAUAGCCUUCACCCUCCCUGGUUGGUAGCUGCUGUGUGACAGGGGAGACCUAACUGGAGGGCAGGAACUGGCCAUGAAUAAAUUAGG